UAUUCUCAACUCCACCGGCUUUUGUGGCUGGCUUGGAGCUUGGAUGUGGAGGUUUUGCUGGCCCUGGUGUCAGCUCCUCUGAAAUACAUUAGCGGAACCGUUUGCGAUCCGUCACAGGUGUGAUAAUUAUCUACGCCAGUGGGUCGCUCUCUGUGAGUUCAGCUCAUAAUCGUCCAGUGAAAUGGACAAACAUUAUAAUGAAC
rnacentral:misc_RNA from 1 species